UUUUUCAGAAAAAACUACACGUGGAAGUUGGGACAAUACUAGACAGCUGCAUACUGAAAUCCAAGAACUAAAGAGCAUUGUUGAAAACCAAAACAUGAUGAUUAUGGGAGAACUGACAACUCACAAUGUUUUAUUAAAUCAACUUUUGCACCAAGAAUCCAUCACAGACGACGUCAUUCAAGUCUUCCCUUUAAAAUCUUUGGAGGAUGUAGAUAAAAUUAACAUAGAACUAUCUGGGCCAAACAAAGCAGUUUAUGCAAAAGCAAUAAAGUCACUAUUAAAGGGAAAGCUGACAAAAAAAUUGGAUACUGUAAUGUCUAUGGACCUAAUAAUAUCAUUUAAUAUAGAUGGAGUUCACGGAAAACAGAGUUUGAAAGAAUAUAGAAAUUUUUUCGAAAUUUUGUUAGGUACAUAUGUAAAUACCU